rnacentral:rRNA from 1 species
AACGAACGCUGGCGGCAGGCUUAACACAUGCAAGUCGAACGCCCGUAGCAAUACGGGAGUGGCGGACGGGUGAGUAACGCGUGGGAACGUGCCCUGAGGUACGGAAUAACUGCGGGAAACUGCAGCUAAUACCGUAUGAGCCCCUUACGGGGGAAAGAUUUAUCGCCUUAGGAGCGGCCCGCGGCGGAUUAGCUAGUUGGUGGGGUAACGGCUUACCAAGGCUUCGAUCCGUAGCUGGUCUGAGAGGACGAUCAGCAACACUGGGACUGAGACACGGCCCAGACUCCUACGGGAGGCAGCAGUGGGGAAUCUUGCGCAAUGGGGGCAACCCUGACGCAGCCAUGCCGCGUGAAUGAUGAAGGCCUUAGGGUUGUAAAGUUCUUUUGCCCGUGACGAUGAUGACGGUAACGGGAGAAUAAGCUCCGGCUAACUUCGUGCCAGCCGCCGCCGUAACAC